UACGUAGGAGGCAAGCGUUGUCCGGAAUCACUGGGCGUAAAGCGCGCGUAGGCGGCUCUUCAAGUCAGGCGUGAAAGCCCCGGGCUUAACUCGGGAACUGCGCUUGAUACUGUCGAGCUAGAGUGUGGAAGGGGCGAUUGGAAUUCCGUGUGUAGCGGUGAAAUGCGUAGAUAUACGGAGGAACACCAGAGGCGAAGGCGGAUCGCUGGGCCAACACUGACGCUGAUGUGCGAAAGCUAGGGGAGCAAACGGG
rnacentral:rRNA from 1 species